rnacentral:rRNA from 1 species
GACGUAGGGGGCCAGCGUUGUUCGGAAUUACUGGGUGUAAAGGGUUCGUAGGCGGUGUAGCAAGUCGGGAGUGAAAUCUUUGGGCUUAACCCAGAGGCUGCUUCCGAAACUGCUGUGCUUGAGUGUGGGAGAGGCGCGUGGAAUUGCAGGUGUAGCGGUGAAAUGCGUAGAUAUCUGCAGGAACACCCGUGGCGAAAGCGGCGCGCUGGACCACUACUGACGCUGAGGAACGAAAGCUAGGGGAGCAAACAGG